UACGUAGGGUGCAAGCGUUACUCGGAAUUACUGGGCGUAAAGCGUGCGCAGGCGGUUGUGCAAGCCAGAUGUGAAAUCCCCGGGCUUAACCUGGGAACUGCAUUUGUGACUGCACGGCUAGAGUGUGUCAGAGGGGGGUAGAAUUCCACGUGUAGCAGUGAAAUGCGUAGAUAUGUGGAGGAAUACCGAUGGCGAAGGCAGCCCCCUGGGAUAACACUGACGCUCAUGCACGAAAGCGUGGGGAGCAAACAGG
rnacentral:rRNA from 1 species